rnacentral:other from 1 species
CAUUCCCUGGGUGGUUCGUGAUGGAUCGACGCACGGUAGAACCAACAUUUCUCCCCCGGGAGUCCUACAUUCGCGAAGCCCGUGCCUGCCCCGCAUCGACGGGGACGCUGAAGGCUCCUCGUGCGGACACCCACCUGACGCGUUUCAGGUUCUAGACGCAGCGUCCACACGGCCACCCGGGGGAUGU